AAUUUUGGACAAUGGGGGAAACCCUGAUCCAGCCAUCCCGCGUGUAUGAUGAAGGCCUUCGGGUUGUAAAGUACUUUUGGCAGAGAAGAAAAGGUAUCUCCUAAUACGAGAUACUGCUGACGGUAUCUGCAGAAGAAGCACCGGCUAACUACGUGCCAGCAGCCGCGGUAAUACGUAGGGUGCAAGCGUUAAUCGGACUUACUGGGCGUAAAGCGAGUGUAGGCGGUUUGGAAAGAAAGAUGUAAAAUCCCAGGGCUCAACCUGAGAACUGCAUUUUUAACUGCCGAGCUAGAGUAUGUCAGAGGGGGGUAGAAGUCAACGUGUAGCAGUGAAAUGAGUAGAUAUGUAGAGGAAUAACGAUGGCGAAGGCAGCCCCCUGGCAUAAUACUGACGCUCAGACACGAAAGAGUGGGGAGCAAACA
rnacentral:rRNA from 1 species